UACGGGGGGGGCGAGCGUUAUUCGGAAUUAUUGGGCGUAAAGGGCGCGUAGGCGGCUCGAUAAGUCAAAGGUGAAAUCCCUCGGCUCAACUGAGGAACUGCCUUUGAAACUGUAGAGCUUGAGUCCGGGAGGGGGUAGCGGAAUUCCCAGUGUAGCGGUGAAAUGCGUAGAUAUUGGGAGGAACACCAGUGGCGAAGGCGGCUACCUGGACCGGAACUGACGCUGAGGCGCGAAAGCGUGGGUAGCAAACAGG
rnacentral:rRNA from 1 species